rnacentral:rRNA from 1 species
GACGAACGCUGGCGGCGUGCUUAACACAUGCAAGUCGAACGGAAAGGCCCUGCUUUUGUGGGGUGCUCGAGUGGCGAACGGGUGAGUAACACGUGAGUAACCUGCCCUUGACUUUGGGAUAACUUCAGGAAACUGGGGCUAAUACCGGAUAGGAGCUCCUGCUGCAUGGUGGGGGUUGGAAAGUUUCGGCGGUUGGGGAUGGACUCGCGGCUUAUCAGCUUGUUGGUGGGGUAGUGGCUUACCAAGGCUUUGACGGGUAGCCGGCCUGAGAGGGUGACCGGCCACAUUGGGACUGAGAUACGGUCCAGACUCCUACGGGAGGCAGCAGUGGGGAAUAUUGCACAAUGGGCGGAAGCCUGAUGCAGCAACGCCGCGUGCGGGAUGACGGCCUUCGGGUUGUAAACCGCUUUCGCCUGUGACGAGGCGUGAGUGACGGUAAUGGGUAAAGAAGCACCGGCUAACUACGUG